rnacentral:rRNA from 1 species
GACGAACGCUGGCGGCGUGCUUAACACAUGCAAGUCGAACGGAAAGGCCCUGCUUUUGUGGGGUGCUCGAGUGGCGAACGGGUGAGUAACACGUGAGUAACCUGCCCUUGACUUUGGGAUAACUUCAGGAAACUGGGGCUAAUACCGGAUAGGAGCUCCUGCUGCAUGGUGGGGGUUGGAAAGUUUCGGCGGUUGGGGAUGGACUCGCGGCUUAUCAGCUUGUUGGUGGGGUAGUGGCUUACCAAGGCUUUGACGGGUAGCCAGCCUGAGAGGGUGACCAGCCACAUUGGGACUGAGAUACGGCCCAGACUCCUACGGGAGGCAGCAGUGGGGAAUAUUGCACAAUGGGCGGAAGCCUGAUGCAGCAACGCCGCGUGCGGGAUGACGGCCUUCGGGUUGUAAACCGCUUUCGCCUGUGACGAAGCGUGAGUGACGGUAAUGGGUAAAGAAGCACCGGCUAACUACGUG